rnacentral:rRNA from 1 species
AUGAACGCUGGCGGCGUGCCUAAUACAUGCAAGUCGAGCGAACAGACGAGGAGCUUGCUCCUCUGACGUUAUCGGCGGACGGGUGAGUAACACUUUGAUAACCUACCUAUAAUUCUGGGAUAACUUCGGGAAACCGGAGCUAAUACCGGAUAAUAUAUUUAACCGCAUGGUUCAAUAGUGAAAUACGGUUUUGCUGUCACUUAUAGAUUGAUCCUCGCCGCAUUAGCUAGUUGGUAAGGUAACGGCUUACCAAGGCAACGAUGCGUAGCCGACCUGAGAGGGUGAUCGGACACACGGGAACUGAGACACGGUCCAGACACCUACGGGAGGCAGCAGUAGGGAAUCUGCCGCAAUGGGCGAAAGCCUGACGGAGCAAAGCCGCGUGAGUGAUGAAGGUCUUCGGAUCGUAAAACUCUGUUAUUAGGGAAGAACAAAUGUGUAAGUAACUAUGCACGUAUUGACGGUACCUAAUCAGAAAGCAACGGCUAACUACGUG